GGUAAAAUGGCUGAUUAAGGUGAUAAAUUGUAAAUUUAUUUAUGAGGUUAAUUUCUUUUACUA
rnacentral:tRNA from 1 species